UAGGCGUUACGUCACUAAAGUCCUCCAGCUCUGGGAAGAUGCUGGUGUGUGUCUGCAAAUAAUAAAAUCAUAAGACAAUACAAAGAAAAAAUAGGCCGCAACCUCUCUAUCAGACAUCUGUUGGACAGACGGUCGUUGAAAAAGACCAGCCAUACAAGGCCACCAUAGUUGCUCCAUUAGAAAGAAAGAUACAGAAGACUGGCCUUUGCGUGACAGAUCACAUUCCUUAUACUUGAGAGGAAAAUGACCCGGCCUGUUUAUUAGCACAUUCCUUCACAUUCAAUUUUCGGUGGGUUCCCUUGCUUGCACUCUAAGCCUGCCAAUAUGUAUGGAAGUUCACGCUCUGUGAGCAAAAUGGACAGCAAUCACAGUGGGGGUAGAAACAACCAGGGCAACUCUGGACGCUCGCCACGGCUGCCUCGGUCACCUCGUAUGGGCCACCGUCGCACCAACAGCAUGGGGGGCAGCGGCGGAGGCCCGGGCGGCUCUGGAGGCAAGACGCUGUCCAUGGAGAACAUUCAGUCUCUCAAUGCCGCCUACGCCACGUCGGGGCCAAUGUACAUGAGCGACAAUGAGGUCGCAAUAGGCACCUCCCCUGACCUCCCAAAAAGUGGUGUAGCGACGGGACGCUUUGGAGGCAGUAUUCCUUACGGGGUAAGAGGAACAGUUACAGGGAGCACACCGGACAUGGCCAUGGUGCCUGCGGUGUCCACCGACUCUAUGGGCUUUGGAGGGGAGAUCCACGCGGCAUCAACCGUACCCCACUCGCUACGUCAGGCGAGGGACAACACCAUCAUGGAGCUCCAAGCCCAGCUCAAGGAGGUGUUGAGGGAGAAUGAGCUCCUUCGGAAGGAGAUCGAGGUGAAGGAGAGCAAGCUCAGCUCCUCCAUGAGCUCCAUCAAAAGCUUCUGGAGCCCAGAGCUGAAGAAGGAACGUGCACUGCGCAAAGAUGAGGCGUCCAAAAUAGCAGUGUGGAAGGAGCAGUACCGCGUUGUGCAAGACGAGACACAGCACCUGCAGACAACUGUGCAGGCACUGCAGGCCGAGCUGCGUAUCCAGCGCGACUUGAACCAGCUACUCCAGCCAUCGGAGGAGCCGCUGGCCUGCGAGCCCAGCGAGGAGCAGGAGCGGCAAGCUCGAGAGGUGUUCUUGCUCCGCCGUACCCUGGAGGAGAUGGAGGUUCGCCUGGAGACCCAACGGCAGACACUAGUUGCUCGUGAUGAGUCAGUCAAAAAGCUCCUGGAGAUGUUGCACAGCAAGGGACCCUCUUCUAAAGCCAGUGAAGAGGAUCACGAGCGCACACGUCGCCUCGCAGAUGCCGAGAUGCACGCGCACCACCUGGAGAACCUUCUAGAACAACGUGAUAAAGAGCUAGCAGCUUUGAGAGAGGAACUGCAUCGCCGCCUUGAGGGGACGCCAGAGACUACGAAAACCAAAGCUCUUCAGACUGUAAUUGAGAUGAAGGAUUCUCAGAUCAGUUCUCUAGAGCGGGGCCUCAGAGAGCUGGAGGACCAGGUCAUGAUGCUCCGCUCCAGUAGUAUGCUUAGCUGUGAGGAACGGCAGGAGGAGGCCAAGCAGAUGGAGGUCUACCGUAACCACACCAAGUUCAUGAAGAACAAGAUGGACCAAGUUAAGCAAGACCUUUCCAGGAAGGACACUCAGCUCCUUGGCUUGCAGACCAAGCUGGAGACAUUGACUAACCAGUUCUCUGACAGUAAACAGCAUAUUGAAGUGCUUAAAGAGUCUCUGACUGCCAAAGAACAACGAGCUGCCAUUCUACAGACAGAGGUGGAUGCUCUGAGGUUGCGUCUGGAGGAGAAGGAGACCAUGUUAAACAAAAAGAGUAAGCAAAUCCAGGAAAUGUCCGAAGAAAAAAGCACACUCAAUGGAGAAAUCCACGAUCUGAAGGACAUGCUGGAGGUCAAGGAGCGUAAAGUCAAUGUGCUUCAGAAAAAAAUUGAAAACCUGCAGGAGCAGCUGAGGGAUAAAGAGAAGCAGAUGAGCAGUCUUAGAGAGAGGGUGAAGUCCCUACAGACAGACACCUCUAAUACAGACACGGCCCUCACUACACUGGAGGACUCACUGGCUGAGAAGGAACGUAUUAUUGAGCGCCUGAAGGAGCAACGUGAUCGAGAGGAGCGAGAGAAGGCAGAGGAGCUGGACAGCAGUAAAAAAGAGCUGAGGGAGUUAAAGGAGAAAGUCAGCAUACUGCAGGGAGACCUGUCAGACCGAGAGACUUCUCUGCUGGACCUUAAAGAGCAUGCAUCGUCACUGGCCUCAUCUGGCUUGAAGAAAGACUCCAAACUGAAAAGCCUAGAGAUUGCCCUUGAGCAGAGGAGGGAGGAAUGCAUUAAACUUGAGAACCAACUAAAGAAGGUCCAGAGUGCCGCAGCCAAUGCACAGGCCAACGCAGAGAUAUCUGAGAGGAUUUCUUCACUUGAAGCUGAUGUGGCCAGACACAGGGAAGACUCAGCUAAAGCCCAGGCUGAAGUUGAUCGUCUAUUGGACAUCCUGCGUCAGAUGGAGAAUGAGAAGAACGACAAGGACAGAAAAAUCAGUGAGCUGGAGAGUGUGGCUUCCAGGCAAAUGAAAGAGCAGAGUAAGAAGUCCUCUGGCAAACACAAGGAGCCUUCAGGGAAGGGCAGAAAUGUCAACGAUGGCCCACAGCAGGAGUCACUGCGGCAGAAGGCAGAGCGCAUCGAGGAGUUGGAGGAAGCUCUCAGAGAGAGUGUUCAAAUCACUGCCGAGAGGGAGAUGGUGCUGGCGCAGGAGGAGGCUGCACGAACCCACCAGGAGAAACAGAUGGAAGAGCUCCUGGGAGCGAUGGAGAAAGUGAAGCUGGAGCUCGAGUCCAUGAAGGCCAAGAUGUCGUCCACCCAGCAGUCUCUGGCUGAGAAAGAAGCUCAUCUGACUACACUGAGGGCCGAGAGGAGGCGACACCUGGAGGAGGUGCUGGAGAUGAAACAGGAGGCUCUCCUUGCAGCCAUAAGUGAGAAAGAUGCUAAUAUAGCAUUGCUGGAGCUGUCUUCAUCCAAAAAAAAGAAGACACAAGAGGAAGUGGCCCAUCUGCGGAGGGAGAAGGACCGUUUGGUGCAGCAGCUCAAACAGCAGACACAGAACCGUAUGAAGCUCAUGGCGGAUAAUUACGACGACGGCUACUUGAAAACGCCACCUGACCAGACCAACCACAAACCUCCAAAAUCACCCGAUCAGAUAAGAUCUGGGCGGAAAGCUACAGUGCACAGGAGCUCUACACUGGCCACCUGAUUAUCCCAUACAACUACCCCAAAUCCCUUUACAAUCAACUCAGUCACUUCUCAUCACACCAGUUACCCAGGACCCACCGCCAGUGAUGACACACACAUUCUCACAGUGGGAGCCUGGGAUGGUGAGUCAGUGUGGAGCUGCAGUUAGGAUCCCUGGACCCUCCUUUGGACCUCCAAAUCCAAACUGGCCAUGAUCGAACCCUCCAGCUUCCUCCACUGUCUCUCUGCCCUCACCUCACACCUGAACCAAACCGGAGCCCUCUAAGAGCCUCAACAGUCUGUAGUCUUAAUAUUGGUGCAGCUUUGAAAAUAUGCAGUGUUAGUUGAGUUGUGAAUGCAAUUUUAAUUAUGUUCUCUUGAUAUGUCAUCUUGGUUGAGUAAAAACAGAUUUAGAAUGUUAACCUGAUCAUUAGGUGGUGCUAUAUAAACAUAACUGAAUGCCAAACUGUUGUUAAACUUUAAUAAUAAAAAAAAGUGUAAUGCUACUUUAACUGCAUUCAAUAUUAAGACUAUCAGACCCUCAAUCUAUUCUGCAUUUAGGUAGUGUCUUGCACUGGUUAUACUUCGGAUGGAUGACCCUUCCCCUUUACCGAAAACCUAUAGGACACCUUCGAGAGCAUGACAUAAACUUUUAUGGAUAGAAAUGGCUAUUCUUCACACCUGACGCUUUGUCAGUGGAAAAAAUCAGGUUCUAUAUGUUCUUUAAUUCAAAUUAACAGCUGCUAAAAGGAAUAGACAUAACAUAUAUAUGAAAAGAGUUUGCAUUGCUCAUGAAGGAGUCCACCAAGGGGUGUGUGCAAGAAAUUAGUUCUCGCUUAAUGAGACUAUUGUUGUUUUCUAGCAGCUCUUAGACAGGACAUUGUAGGCUCCCAAUAACAUAUCUUCAUAACAUGUCCAGAUAACCAGUUUCUGAGAGCGCAUUGCUGGUUUUAUGUGCUCUCAUAAACAUGGAUAUCAUUGUGUCUAUCUGUAUCUCUCAAAGUGGAAUUUUUUAAAUGUUGCAUUUGUGGCCUAUUGUCUUCGUGUAUUAAAAUGACAAUUAAAAGAUGGAUAGUCCACUUACAAAAAAAGAAAAAAAAAAAUUAAAAUGAAAACAAGAGAUGAUCAAAUCAGACAAAAGACACGGGUAUGGGUGUUCUGAAUUUGUAUAAAUGUGUAUGUAUAUAAAUAUCUAUUAUCAGA